CAGGUACAGUUUGAUGACUCUGAAAGUAACUAAGCUACUGGGAAACUUACUGUGAGGCUCUGCAUAUUUGUUGUCCAAAUGGUUGAGUGGUGCCACUGUCGACGUGGUGCUCAAUGCACUUGGCAACCCCCAAAGGCGACACCUUCAGAUGGAGAAGUGAAGAAUACUGUACCAGAAUGUUGAGCAACUUCAACUGAUGACCUUCAUUCUUGCACUUUCCCUUGUACUGUGGUGCACCAGAGCCCGUGAAGGCUUGGGUACUGAUGCCAGCACACACUCCGCAGUUGCUCUGUCCUGUACAGUGCAAUCAUCUGGAUAUAUGCACUGUUGAUUGACGAACCGGCACUGGACGCAAGUGUGCAGGCUCCCUGAUGCAUUUCGGGUAAAAAGAGCUGAACCGCCCUGCAGGGCAUCUUCACAGAGUGCUUCACUGGUCUUGGACUCUCCUGCUUCUUUCAACAACUGAUAGUCACCUGUGACUAAGGCUGAAUGAUAAGGUGUUUUCCCCAGUCUCAGGGUUUCUUAUGAAGAUCAAUUACCACCAGCUCGGCUGCUUUCUCGCCGCUCUUUACAAUAAGGUGUAUAAGCUUUAAACUUUCAGCAGACUUCAGCCAAAGUUACUAUGUCAUAUUGGCAGUGUGGGAACGGGCACUGUGAUGGAAAAAAGUAAUUUUUCUGGGAAACAUCUCUGACCUUUAUUGCAGGAAGUGCGUACAGGCUUACCUUCAUCAGUCUGCAGUAAUGCUGGACAUUAAUCAGAACUCUCUCUUACAAAAAUCUCCGCAGGGGGCAUCAGCUUACGCUGAUGUUUGGUGAGUGGCGCCACCACGGACCCCAGCCCCCAGUCCCAAGGUGUUAACCGUACCGUGCCGAGGGGAUGCAAGGUGAAGGGUCAGAAACCUUGAACAGUGGCGGUCGGGGUCUUGGUCAAGCCCCGGCCGAUGGGUUUUCCUUAAAACUCCGGGACCUUCUCACGCGUAUGGACGUGAAACGUGAGCGACUCGUAGGAGCGUCCAUUUCUUAAAACCGUACAUGGUAAAAAAUUCUUCCUCCUCUACGAUCGGGGGCGGCAAACGUCCCCGGACCGAAGUAUUCGAAACAAUGUCUACGAACUUUACAGCAAAGUACGUCGUUCUUU